rnacentral:tRNA from 1 species
UGGCCCGUGGUCUAGUCUGGCUAUGACGUCGCUCUCACACGGCGAAAAUCCCCGGUCCGAGUCCGGGCGGGCCCACCA